GUGCCGGAGUUAACACAAUAAGUAAUCCACCUGGGGAGUACGGCCGCAAGGCUGAAACUCAAAGGAAUUGACGGGGGCCCGCACAAGCAGUGGAGUAUGUGGUUUAAUUCGAAGCAACGCGAAGAACCUUACCAGGUCUUGACAUCGAGUGACGAACUUAGAGAUAAGUUCUUCCUUCGGGACACGAAGACAGGUGGUGCAUGGUUGUCGUCAGCUCGUGUCGUGAGAUGUUGGGUUAAGUCCCGCAACGAGCGCAACCCUUAUCAUUAGUUGCUACGCAAGAGCACUCUAAUGAGACUGCCGUUGAUAAAACGGAGGAAGGUGGGGAUGACGUCAAAUCAUCAUGCCCCUUAUGACCUGGGCUACACACGUACUACAAUGGUGAUCAAACAGAGGGAAGCAACACAGCGAUGUGAAGCAGAACCCGAAAAAUCAUCUCAGUUCAGAUUGCAGGCUGCAACUCGCCUGCAUGAAGUCGGAAUUGCUAGUAAUCACGGAUCAGCAUGCCGCGGUGAAUACGUUCCCGGGCCUUGUACUCACCGCCCGUC
rnacentral:rRNA from 1 species